rnacentral:snRNA from 1 species
GUGCUUGCUUCAGCACACAUAUACUAAAAUUGGAACGAUACAAAGAUUAGCAUGGCCCCUGCGCAAGGAAGACAUGCAAAUUUGUGAAGCGUCCCAUAUUUUG